rnacentral:rRNA from 1 species
GACGAACGCUGGCGGUGUGCCUCAAACAUGCAAGUCGAGGGAGGGUUGGCGUCUGGCUUGCCAGACGUUCAACUCUACCGGCGAACGGGUGAGUAACACGUGGGCAAUCUGCCCUGAAGACGGGGACAACCUCGGGAAACCGUGGCUAAUACCCGAUACCCUCCUUGGGGGCGAUCCCCUCGGGAAGGAAAGGUACCGCAAGGUCCGCUUCAGGAGGAGCCCGCGGCCUAUCAGCUUGUUGGUGGGGUCGACGGCCACCAAGGCUAUGACGGGUAGGCUGGUCUGAGAGGACGAUCAGCCACACUGGGAC